rnacentral:misc_RNA from 1 species
GAUGAAGAACGUAGCGAAAUGCGAUACUUGGUGUGAAUUGCAGAAUCCCGUGAACCAUCGAGUCUUUGAACGCAAGUUGCGCCCGAAGCCAUUAGGCCGAGGGCACGCCUGCCUGGGCGUCACACGUCGUUGCCCCCCCAUCUACUCCUUCGGGAUUGCGGGGGGCGGAUGAUGGCCUCCCGUGCGCCUCGUCGCGCGGUUGGCAUAAAUGCCAAGUCCUCGGCGACGCACGCCACGACAAUCGGUGGUUGCGAAACCUCGGUUGCCCGUCGUGCGCGGUCGUCGCGCAUCGAGGGCUCGAAAAAAUUGCCGGGCUCCGGCUCGGCUUUCAACGCGACCCCAGGUCAGGCGGGGUUACCCGCUGAAUUUAAGCAUAUCAAUAAGCGGAGGA